rnacentral:rRNA from 1 species
UAGAUACCCUGGUAGUCCACGCCGUAAACGAUGUCUACUAGCUGUUCGUGGUCUUGUACUGUGAGUAGCGCAGCUAACGCACUAAGUAGACCGCCUGGGGAGUACGGUCGCAAGAUUAAAACUCAAAUGAAUUGACGGGGGCCCGCACAAGCGGUGGAGCAUGUGGUUUAAUUCGACGCAACGCGAAGAACCUUACCUACUCUUGACAUCUACGGAAGUUUGCAGAGAUGCAGAUGUGCCUUCGGGAACC